UUGAGGGGGUGACUAGUGACAGAGUGAGGGAAGGGAUGACUAGUGGCAGAGUGAGGGAAGGAAGGGGUGACUAGUGACAGAGUGAGGGAGGUGGUGACUGUCACUAGUCACCACCUCCCUCACUCUGUCACUAUUCACCACCUCCCUCUGUCACUACUCCCUCCCCCCUUCUGUCACUACUCCCUCCCUCCUUCUGUCACUAGUCACCCCCUCCCUCACUCUGUCACUAGUCACCCCCUC